AUGAAUGGAUACAAUGAGAAAAAACGAGAAAAAGAAAACUUGAUUACUGCUACUUCUAUUAGUUUGGAACAAUUAGAUAAGUCUAAAAAUGGAAGCCUUUAUUUUGAAAAACGAAGGGCAAUGAAUCAGGUCCGACAGCAGGUUUUUCGACAUGUCGUACAAGGAGCUCUAGAAACUCUGAAUAGCUGUUUGAAUACCGAGUUACAUUUCCGUACUAUUCUCCCUUUUAGGUGA
rnacentral:rRNA from 1 species